UAAUACGGAGGGUGCAAGCGUUAUCCGGAUUCACUGGGUUUAAAGGGUGUGUAGGCGGGCUGUUAAGUCAGUGGUGAAAUCUCCGGGCUCAACCCGGAAACUGCCAUUGAUACUAUCAGUCUUGAAUUCUGUUGAGGUGGGCGGAAUAUGUCAUGUAGCGGUGAAAUGCAUAGAUAUGACAUAGAACACCAAUUGCGAAGGCAGCUCACUAAGCAGAUAUUGACGCUGAGGCACGAAAGCGUGGGGAUCAAACAGGAUUAGAUACCCUGGUAGUCCACGCCCUAAACGAUGAUUACUCGACAUACGCGAUACACAGUGUGUGUCUGAGCGAAAGCAUUAAGUAAUCCACCUGGGAAGUACGUCCGCAAGGAUGAAACUUAAAUGAAUUGACGG
rnacentral:rRNA from 1 species